rnacentral:lncRNA from 7 species
AGAUAGUCUAUCAAAUGCAUGAAGAGCUGCUCCCCGUGACCAUGGAGAACAAAGAAUUAGAGGCAUUGUCUCUCAAAACAAGCAAAAUGGACAACUAGUCAAGCAUCUCAGUAACUGCAACUAAAUGCAAUGACUUUCAACAUUUUUGGAACAGGAUUCCCUGCUGACAUUCUUCCUGAGUCCUAUUCCUUCAGUUCUUGAUGGUGGUAAAAGCAGCAGCACCAGUAUUGCUUGGGAUGCAAGUUGCAGGGGUCAAGGGAGUUACUGUUCUGAGUUCUGCUGGAAUCAGUCUUGCCAAAGGAAAAUAAAUAAAAAAAAAAAAUCAGUCUGACUAGCAUGUAGCUACUGCUGCUUUCCUGACAGAUAUAUUCCUCUAUUGUAAGUGAAAUGGUGCUUGUUUAUCGUGGACAAAAUUUCUUUUGUGGUUUAAAGAUCAAGCACUUGAUACAUAAUCUAUCCACGGUUUGUGGAGAAGGAAAAUGACAUUUAUUUAAUAAUCCCACUGUUUUAAAAUUAUAUCACCAAUUUAACCUACUCAUGUGGAACACUAUUAAGAUGGAAAUAUUUUAUAAUGAAAAAGUUUACAAUGGUGUGUGGAUUUCUCUUACUAAUAUGAGAGGUACUGAGGCUUUUCCUUCAGUGGAACUGCAAAGCUGCAAAUGAAGGCCUGAGCUGAGAUAAGAGAUUUCAGAAAUGUCUUUAUAUCUUGGAUUUUUGGUCUGUGAAUUUAUAUCUUUUGCCCAGAAAUUGGACCUCUGCUUGAAUUCAGCUAUGAAUUAACUGUAAUUGGAAGAAAUUAAGCAACAAUUGAUGGCUGUGUUUCUGAUCCAAUCUGAAUAAAGUUCUCUUCAAUCUCUUCAGCUUUUGUUGGCCUAACUGGGAGGAACAUGGCAGGAGAAUUAUUUUUAUUACUGAAAUAUGCACAGAAAGCAGUACUGCUGCAUAAGCAAACAUCACAUUUGUAAUGACCUGGAUAUGCUCCUAGAUUCAUAAGCAGUGCAUAAUAAAAUGUAUAGCUCACCAAAACACCAGUUACUUUUUAGUGACAUUGUCACAUGUAACAGUUUCCCUUUAACUUUUGAACAAUGGUGUACCUUGCAGUUUGUAUUCCUCAUGGAAAAUCCUGUAUGUUUGCAGUACCUCUGCAAGUGCUAUAUAUAACCCGUGUAUUGUUCAUGC